rnacentral:lncRNA from 1 species
UUAUAAAAUUUAUCAUAAUUUUUUUUAUAUAAAAUUUGGAAGUGAAAGUAAAAAAAAAAAAAUCAAGAUCAAGGGGUAUUAAAAAGAAAAAAUACAAGGUGUAUAAAAUUUUUCAUAAUUUUUUAAUAUAUAAAUUCAAAGUGAAAGUAAAAAAAAAGAAUAAAGGGGUCUUAAAAAAAAAUAGAGAUGGGAUUAAAAAAUUAAUUAAAGGGUAUUAAAAAAGAAUAAAAUGGUUUGAAUGGGCAAAAUUAUAAUUUAGAAAGCAAUAAGAAAAAAAAAUUGAAAGUAAAAAAGAAAGUCCAUCAAGGUGUGGGGAUAUCAGGGUGAAAAAAACACUCUCUUAUGUUAGUUUAAUUAAAUUAGUUAAUUUUCUGAGAAAGUUAUGAGAUUACUUAUUGUGAUUGUUUUUUAUGUUAAUUUUUAUUAUCUUCUGCGAUGAAAAAAUUAAAAUUGAUUGAAAAUAUAUUUUUAUUUUUUUUGCAUAGUUGCCCGUGGGCACGGGCAAUUACUAGUAUAUAUAUAUGUACCCAACUAUUUAAUUUAUUUAAUGGGUAUGUCAAGAAUUUGUAUAUUAUUGAUAACACGAAUUUAUACUUCUAAUACCGUGUAUAAUUCACUGAGAUCUAGAAGACAUGAUUAUCAUCAUUUGUGCUAAAUGUUCGAAUGAUUGGUUAGGCUUAAUGGCAAGUUUGGUCCCCAACGUAUACCUUUUGUUCAAUUGUAAUCCCCAAUGUAUUAAUUGUAUUAAUUUAGUCUUUUAUGUUUUAAAUGUGUAUUUAAAUGGUCCCUACUCUCCUCAAAAAAUUAUUUUGUAUAUAGAAUUUCAUGAAAUAUUAUAAAUUUCUAUAUGAAAAUCUAUGCAUUUUUAAAAUUUUUAUUUGAAAUUUUUUUAUUUUUAGUAAUUUUUUUUUGGAGUAAGGACCAUUUAAAUACACAUUUGAAAUAUAAGAACUAAAUUAAUACAAUUAAUACAUUGAAGACCACAAUACGAUACAAGUUAUACGUUGGGACCAAACUUAUCAUUAAGUCAACUGGUUAAUAAGUAGAUUCAUACUUGAGAUCCACCGGGUAUCUUCCAUUCGAACCAAUCCCUCCACAUGAAAAAAAAAAGAGAGAAAGAAAAAUUAAAUACCUCAUCAUCAGAUUGAGAUUUGAUUGGAACCAUUCAUAAUUAGGAGGAUCAACUUCCGUCGAGACCGGAUUUUCCCUUCUGCCGGAAAAGGGCUCGACGAGAUUAAGUCCAUCUUUUCCAGCACAAAGGUUUGGCCAUUGUUGAGCUCUGUUUGGAGGAUUUUUCCACUUGAUCUGAAAAACAUGGAGACAGAGGAAACUUGGGUUUCCUAAAGACAAGUUGGCGAUCCAUCUUUCUCUACAGCCGCUCACUAUCUGACUAAAUUUAAAGAUGAAGUGUUAGUCUCACAAGCACGUAUCACUAAUUUGAUGGUUACUAAUUAAUUAAUUGAUGAAACAGGAUUCUACGUCUAACCGAAGGAAGCUUGGUUAGCUGGCGAUUCUGACUCGAGAGCUAUCAAUACGAUCACCGUCCAAAUACGGCGGAUUUUUAAUGAUUUUUAUAGAAUCUUUUCAUAUUAGUAUUUUUUUUUUUAAAAACAAUUACUUUUUUGUACUUUUGAUUCGUCUUUAAAGAUGAAAACCAAAAAGUAAUUUUUUUUUACAAAAUGACUAAAAAAAAUUCAAAAAACAAAAAUAUUGUGAAUGCAAAAUUUUAAAAUUGAGAUAUAAAAUUUUAUGAAAUUUUUAUUUUUUUCAAGGAUUAUAGGGAUGAAUGAUUCAAUUGGUAUAUUAGGGACUAAAAUGUGUGUACAAAAUCUUGGAGACCAAAAUUGCCAUAUGUUUUUUUAGGUCCAGAAGUCCCUAACUCUUAACAGUAAAUAGUAUAAACUGUGGCGUAGGACCAUUUUAAAAACACAUUUUAAACUUUUUUUUUCCUUUUCUUUGGUUCCUCUUUUUUUUUGUUUUUCUAGGGCGGACAAAAUUAAUAUAAUUGUUCAUAAAACCCCACAAUAAGACAAAGGUAAUAGCAUCAAACUUGUCAAUUAAGCCAAAACAAAACUUCCAAAGACAAAAGUUAGAUAUUAAUCAAGGAAACUGGUCAACAUUGGCCACCUAUUCCACGUGGUGACAAUUCAAACGAUAGCUCCAUUUGAUAUUUGAUUAAUUACAUUAACAUGUGAAUAACGUUUUUAUUGUUUUGGUCUGUACUAAAAGAGCCAAAUGCCAUUUGCCCAUUAAUCUUGGCUCCGUUGUAUAGCUUUUCGACUAUUUUUUAAAGCGAUAAAACAAAAAAAACAUAAAAGGAAUUGGCUGUUGUGCUUUUUUGUUGAUAUUUUUUAGUUCAUUUUUAACUAAAGAUAAUGUCAGAAAAACAAAAACUAAAAUUAAAAUUUUUUAAAACAGUUAAAAAAAACUUGACUUUACAAACAUUAUCAAAUGGAUCCCUUGUCAACACCACUUUUUCCUUUCUCUUCUCCUUUCGGCAGCAGUGUCUGGAUCUCUCAAUGAACCUAAGCAUGACACAAAGCCUUUCUCAUCUGAAAAACAUUUUUUAAAAAAACUUAAUAAGGUAAUUUAUUGUAUUGUGGUCCUCAUUAUACCAAUUGUAUUAAUUUCGUCUCCAUAUUUGAAAUGUGUCUUUAAAUGGUCUCUACUCUAAAAGUCAUAUGAUUUACUGUUAAGAGUUAUGGGCAUUCUGGACAUUAAAAAAAAAAAUAGCAAUUUUGGUCCCCCAAAAUAUUUUGUACUCAUAUUUUAGUCCCUAAUAUAUCAAUUGAAUCAAUUCAUCCCCAUAAUCUAGAAAAAAUAAAAAGAUUCAUAAAAAUUCAUACCUCCAAUUUUUAAAUUUUCGCAUCUCACAAAUAUUUUCCUCUUUCUGAACUUUUUUAGUCAUUGAAAAAAAACUACUUUGGUUCUCUUGAAGAACGAAAGAAAAAGUACAAAAAUUAAAAAUUUUGAAAAAAAAUUCAUAGAGAUGAAAGCUUUUAUAAAAAUCCGAUAAAUAUGAUUAAAUAUUAAAGGGAUUUGUCAAAUUAUUAUACGAAUCCAUAAAGAAUGUCUGGAUACGAAUAAACAAGGAUUUGAAAUCACAAAGAAAACUCACCAUUAUAUUUUUCUCGAGCAAAAAUAGUUGUUAUUGACAAGUUCCACACAUUCUCUACCCUCUCUUAUCGUCGGUCUUCCUCUCUCAUUAUCUUCUUCUUACAUAUAAUUUUGCAUACUUUAAUAAAAAUCUUAGAGCGUCCCUAAAUAUGAUUAAAUUUACUUAACUUCUUUUUUUAAUGUCUGAAACAAAUAGCAAAAGUAUCUGCUCAAUGGAAAAUUUGGACAAUUUCAAGGGGAUAGAAACUAUUGCCUGAAACGAGAAAUGAAAGAAGGCAACCAACAUUACCUAAUUUAGGUAUCACAUUGACCUUCCUGGUGAUG